GUGCUUUUACGAAAUGCAAGGAAGGUGAAGUGCUAGAACAACGCUUGGAAGCUGGAGCAACGUUAGAUCCAAGAGAUCGGAAAAGCA